ACAUAAACUACAAAACACCUCGUUCCCAUACUCAGCAACUCUGUCUAAAACUGAGACUAUAACCAAAAGCUUGAAAAAAACUCCGUCUCUCUUUCUGCUAUGCUUUCUUUGACUGCUCCCAGUCUUCUCUCUUCGCUCUCUUCUCAUCUGAACUCAAAACCCAGACUUUGUCAACCCUAUUUUUCUUCAACAAUCACAGAACAAAUUCAUCCCCAUGUCAAUCACUUUUUGAAACAAACACAGAGAAACCUCUUCCUCUCACUCGUUCGCUCAUGUUGGUAUUCAAAGUGUCGAUUUCAUCGGUCUCUCUAAACCAACCAAACCUAUUGUUUCACUAUUGUUGCUAAGCCAUUCGAUUCACUAUUAUUUGAUUUAGGGUUUCAAUUGGAUUAGUUUUGGGUUUUAGGGCUUUAUCUGGAAUUCAAUUUGGGGAUUUAAAGCACCGACAGCACGACCGUCUCACCGGAAACUCUUGUUCCGGUGGCACCCAUUUCUCCAGCAGCUUGCCCGUCCAUAAAUGGGUCGUCACUAGUUCAAGGUCUGCCACCCAUUUCUCAUUUACAAGAGACAUCAAAUCGAGAGGUUCAUUUACAAUAAGUUUGCUCAACUGGAAAUUAUAGACAAGCUUGUUGCUGAAGCUGUUCUAUCAAAAACUAGAGAGGACAGUUGCAGAAUUAACAGGAAGGGCUUUUCCUCUUGUCUUUAUUUCAAUUUUCUUUCAUUAUUUCUUGCUUUCAAGUCAAACUAAUUUUCUUUGUGAAUUUCACAAUGCGGAAGCCUGACAAUGAAUUCAUCAAGGCCUUUUAAGUUUCAAUACUAUAGUUGCAUGAAUCUGUUUCAUCACCUAACUUGCUUGGUUACUCAUGAACACUGCAAAAAUUAUAAUUGGUUAUAAGCUUUCAGGAAUUAUGGAAGGAAGUCAUGGGUUGUGAAUUUGUUUUGUCUUUUGAUCAUCUUUUUCAACCAAUAUUGUUAAAAUGAUGACAGAUUAUGAGAUUUAUUUUUGCGAGGUAUUUCAUAUAUUUAACAUAGUUGAAUUUAAGUUGUAACUUGACCAAUCCUGGUUUUGCUAUAGCUGUAUUUGUUAUGGCUAGAGCCAUCCACAAAAUUGUGCAGCUUGUACCUUAGUACAUAGGAGAGUUUUAUACUGCUCUGGCAUAUUUCUGCUCUAGAAAUAAUGUUUUAGAGAUUUUUAUUGCUCAAGAAAAUUCCUUCUUUUUUUUUCUUUUUUUUUGUGCUUGCAAGCUUGUUGCAUUGCUUUUGGUAGCUGGGUUGUGGUUUUGCGGUUGUUGCAAUUCUGUUAAUGGCACUGUGUUUCUUUCCUUCAUGUCUUUUCCCUUAUUGUUGUUUUCUUCAUUGUUUUAAUUCCUGAAGGAUCUUUGUUCUUUCUGUUUCCAUGCACUUUUUCUUCUUCUUGACAGGAUUAUGUUCCAACUGUAUUUGACAACUUCAGUGCUAAUGUUUUAGUUGAUGGGCAGACUGUGAAUUUGGGUCUCUGGGAUGCUGCUGGUCAAGAAGAUUAUAAUAGGUUGAGGCCUCUUAGUUACAGAGGAGCUGAUAUUUUUCUUCUUGCCUUUUCUCAUAAGUAGGCCUAGCUAUGAGAACAUAUCAAAGAAAGUAAGCUCCUUUUUCUCCACCAAGAUUCUACCCAAAACUCAAAUAGAUUAUGGAUUUCAAUUUGAUUUGUUUCCAGGUUUUGUUGAUCUCCCGACUUCAACCCAAAAAUUGUUGUAGUAUCACAAAAAAAGAGUCUAGGUAUACUCUAAAGUUCCACAUAUAAUAUUAAAUAUAUUCCUCUCACAAUUGUAGGAAACUAGGAAUUUAUCAAAGCUCUUGUCGCGAUUAUGUCUGGCUUGUUGUUACUUUCUUAAGGUUUCUGUGUUGUACAUAUCCAAAAUAGCAAUCUUCUUGGUCUGAUAUUGAUGUGUUUGACCCAAGGAUUAGGACUCUGGAAAUUAAGACUUAUCUUCUUGUUACAUUUUAAAAGUUUCUAUGUUAUUUCUGUCUGUUGUACUACAACUGCAGUUUUAUCUUGUUCUUGCUUUUGUCAGCUGAGUUCUAAUUUUCAAUUUUGUUUUGCAUUUGUCUUGGUUUGUUAAUCUAUAGACUUCAACUCAGAACUUGCUUUAGUAUUACACAAAAGUGUCCAGCUGUUGCUCUAAUAUUCCACAUAUAGUAUAUUAUAUGUUCCUCUUUCUUUUUUCUUUUUUUGCAUGGUUUAGGGUACCUAAGACCUGUAGUGUCAAAACACCAUGGUAAUGGACAUGUAGAUAAAACAAAAAUUGAAACAUUAUAUGAGUUUGGAUAUGUAAAGUGAUUCUUAAUGCAUAUUUGCAAAUUUUGGUAACAUGUAUUCAGACUUCAAACUCUUGAACAACUUGGACUUGUCAAAAUAUGUUGUCAAAAUAUUAGACAAUAUUGUUAUGAUUCUUGGUGAGCAAAGCAAUUUUAAUCUCAUGGCUUCUCUAUGUCUGUGGAGAUGAUUUUAACUCUUCAUUGUUGAUUGCAUGCUUGGCUUUUCAAGGGAGGCUUCUUGCAAUUGGUGCUACCUUUCUGUAACUUUAGAUUUAUGUUUUUGGACCGUUGCAUCGGUAAGAGUACAUUCCUCCUACUAAAAUCAUUAUUUGGUGUUUUCAAUGUAUAAGUAUAGGUUCAUUCUUGAACUCCACCAACCCGUUUCCUUAACUUCUUGAAAGUCUCUUUACUGCUACCUCUUGUGUAUCAAGUAGGUUUCCCAUACAAAUCAAGUUCUGCUUAUUUAUGUUCUCACAGGAUCAUGUACUAAGUUUCAUCGGAAAGGAUAGGCAAGCCAGAUUGUACUAGCUCUACUCGUUUAUAAAUUCCAAUCCAGAUUUACUUUACUUUACUUUAUCUUCAGGGACAGGAUUUGAAUUUUGGACUUUAUGAAACAUUUAGAUGGGAAAUACCAGGAUACAUUCUUUUCAAUGUUGAGGAAUUGGUUCGGAGUCUUGGACAUAGAUGGACUACAUGAGCCAAAGCUUUUAAUGUUAUUAUAUUUUUAGAUUCUUGCAAUCAUUGUCUAAUACUUAACAUAGGUUGGAUAUAUCUUUGCUCUUGACUCCGGAUAGGCCUAACUAAUUUAGCAAGAGGAAGAUUUGAUAUGAUAGGAUGCUGCAAUGUCCUAGAACUAUCAAGGGGCAUCAUAUAAAAGAAUCCACCAUUUGUAACUUCAAGAUAAAAAGCCAAAAAGGUCCAUCAAGUACAUUAGAAUUGAAGAGGAGAUAAACUAGAUGAAAUGCAAAGAAAAGUUCAAAAGUUCAAAAGCCUGUUUUCUUCCACCUCCUAUUUUUGCAGAGACAACCAUUUGAAAUUAUUUCCAACUUGCAAGAUUGUUGCAUUGAUUUUGGUAGCUGGGUUGUGGUUUUGCGCUUUGUGGUAUUUUUGUGUCUUUUCCUGAAUAUGAUAUCCUCAGCAAAUAUCUUUUCUAGCUUCAGUUUUUGUGCACACAGUUAGCUUUGUUAAUUGAAUGUCUAUAGUUAUAAUGUAAACAAGUAUCAAUCCUUGUUAUGAGCAUGAGGCAGUUGCAAUGUGAUAUGUGGUUUUGUACUAAGUUUCGCUCUUGAAAUAUGUUAUCUUUACUAAAUUUCUGUGUUUGUGUUGUCUGCAGACUACAAGAAUUAUGUAGAACAAUGGUAGUCUGCUCUUCAAAACUUUGAUGCCUCAAUUAGUUGAUAUCUCUGGAGGAUUAUCCGCUUCAAGAAUCAUAGUUGUUACAUAAUUGGCUAAAUUAAAGCUUCUGCUACUUAGUCACUCUAGAUUAGUAUAGUUGCUCCAGAUAGUAGUUUUUUUGCCUUAUAAGUUUAUUGAGCUGAUGCUCAUUAGGUUUAUGGAUGUAUGUGUUGACUAUAAUGACAGAUUGAAUAAUAUAUGCCAAUUGUGUAGUUUCCGAAUUA